UACGAAGGGGGCUAGCGUUGCUCGGAAUGACUGGGCGUAAAGGGCGCGUAGGCGGUUUGUACAGUCAGGUGUGAAAUUCCCGGGCUCAACCUGGGGGCUGCACUUGAUACGUAUGGACUGGAGUGGGGAAGAGGGUCGUGGAAUUCCCAGUGUAGAGGUGAAAUUCGUAGAUAUUGGGAAGAACACCGGUGGCGAAGGCGGCGACCUGGUCCUUGACUGACGCUGAGGCGCGAAAGCGUGGGAGCAAACAGG
rnacentral:rRNA from 1 species